CCGAGUCCCGACGCACACCCCCCCCCCGCGCCGGGACUCUUCCAGAGCCGGGCUCCGGCGCCUUCCCCCCCCUGGCGCCGGGGCCCGGCUCCAUG
rnacentral:ncRNA from 1 species